UACGGAGGAUGCAAGCGUUAUCCGGAUUUAUUGGGUUUAAAGGGUGCGCAGGUUGUUUGAUAAGUCAGUGGUGAAAGUCUGUCGCUUAACGGUAGGAUUGCCAUUGAUACUGUUGGACUUGAAUAUGGAUGAGGUAGGCGGAAUGUGUAGUGUAGCGGUGAAAUGCAUAGAUAUUACACAGAACACCGAUUGCGAAGGCAGCUUACUAAUCCAUCAUUGACGCUGAGGCACGAAAGCGUGGGUAGCAAACA
rnacentral:rRNA from 1 species